rnacentral:lncRNA from 10 species
CUUUCUUCCAUGUGCACACGCUGAUUUCUCAACCUGGAAUCAUUUCCCUACACCUUUCCUCAAAGGACUGUUAAUGAGUUUUCAGAGCAGGUACUUCACUGAAAUGUAACUACCACAAUGCAUCCUUUCCAUGUGACUAACUUCGCUCAUGGACCAGAAUCACUGUGGCUCUGCCCUGGAGUGGUGCAAAGAGCUCGCAUUCUGUUUGGAAAGCAAAUUAUUUAAAUCCAGUAGAGGACUCUCAAAUGUGGUUGGAAAAUCUAAGAAGACUUCCCAGAGGCAGCAGCACUAGUGUUAGGGAAAGAGCUCACAAAUUCCAUUGCUGUAGAAUCCAUGUGUUGAAGACCGCUACACUGGAAUCUAGUUUUCUAUCCUAAAAUCUACCUCCUGAGUUUGAGUAAGACUUGAACUAGUUUGCAAAUAUCUGUGAUCUUCACCUUGCCUGCCUGCAAAGCCCAUAAGCAAGUUCAGAAGAGACUUCUACUUGUCCAAAGCAACAUGGAGUAAAGUGGGUCAACUAGAAUUAAAAUAUGCUCCAGCCAAAGGUGACCAUGGAAACCUAUUGAUAAGGCUCUGGGGUCAGAUUCAUCUCUGUUCAGACAACUCUAGCGGUGUGACUCUGAGCAAGUGUUUUUUAACCUAAGUUCCUGCUUCCUCAACUGCAAAUGUAGGAAUGGUAACAUCUUCCUCAAAGUUGUAUGCUGGGGAUAACACAUGAAGGAGAUGCCUGGGCCAUAUAAUUAUUUAAGAAAUGUUCAUUUCUUUCUUGAACUACCUUCUACCAACUAUUUGGUCUGAGUUUAUGAAACUGUAAAUUUUGUCUAACAUUUGCCUAACAAAGCAUUAUUACCUUGCUUAAAGAAACACACAAUACAUUCUAAACCAA